AAGUCGUAACAAGGUUUCCGUAGGUGAACCUGCGGAAGGAUCAUUAACACGUAUCCAAACGUAAAAAACCCCCCCCGUGAACAUUCAAUCCUGCUCUUGUAACCCGCGUAGUUCGCAAUCUCUGGUAAAUCGUAGCCCGGAAAGUAGUUUUGAUUCAGAGACCUCUGGCUACGUGAGAACAUUGGAACAGUUACAAUCGAGCGCUAUCCUUGCACAAUCAGUGACACUUUCAGACACUGACUGCUUGAGGAAACAAUGCCUAUGAAACUACCGCUUCAGCGAUUCCUGUAGACCGUACACUCGGGCAGGAGCUAUGCCAAAGGGUCCCCAUGCCCCCUUAUAACCCAACAGUUUAAUGUGAAGCUCAAUGUAAUACAUUGGGUAAAAAAACCGAACAACUGUUAACAAUGGAUAUCUUGGUUCUC
rnacentral:misc_RNA from 1 species